rnacentral:rRNA from 1 species
AUUGAACGCUGGCGGCAUGCUUUACACAUGCAAGUCGAACGGCAGCGCGGGCUUCGGCCUGGCGGCGAGUGGCGAACGGGUGAGUAAUACAUCGGAACGUGCCCAGUAGUGGGGGAUAGCUCGGCGAAAGCCGGAUUAAUACCGCAUACGACCUGAGGGUGAAAGCGGGGGAUCUUCGGACCUCGCGCUAUUGGAGCGGCCGAUGGCAGAUUAGCUAGUUGGUGGGGUAAAGGCCUACCAAGGCGACGAUCUGUAGCUGGUCUGAGAGGACGACCAGCCACACUGGGACUGAGACACGGCCCAGACUCCUACGGGAGGCAGCAGUGGGGAAUUUUGGACAAUGGACGAAAGCCUGAUCCAGCAAUGCCGCGUGUGUGAUGAAGGCCUUCGGGUUGUAAAGCACUUUUGGCGGGAACGAAAAGGACUGUGCCAAUACCACGGUUCGAUGACGGUACCCGCAGAAUAAGCACCGGCUAACUACGUG